rnacentral:rRNA from 1 species
ACGGAGGGUGCAAGCGUUAAUCGGAAUUACUGGGCGUAAAGCGCGCGUAGGCGGUCUGGUCAGUCAGAUGUGAAAGCCCCGGGCUCAACCUGGGAACUGCAUUUGAUACUGCUGGACUAGAGUGUGGUAGAGGGAAGUGGAAUUCCGCGUGUAGCGGUGAAAUGCGUAGAGAUGCGGAGGAAC